UAGGUGCGAGAAGUUCCGGUGGUUGAUCCAUGCUCCCGGAAUAAAGUAUGACAUGCAUAAUCACACCAUUAAAGCCAGCCUUUCGUAUUUCCUGUUCAGGAAUGGCUGAAUGGUAAUGAAUUAGGGUUUUUACGUACUUUUUGAAUUUUUUUAAUUACUGAACCAUUGAUUCCUAAUGUUUUCUGAGUAUUCGCAGGAGCCUCUGGACAUCAUAUUUAUGCGUUACUUUCCCCUUACAAAUUAUCGUAAGAUGGCGGAGCUAUUUUUUAACCGGGAGAUUGCAGCCGCCAAUUUCCACUUGCUCCUAGCCAAGUGUGCCCUUGAUCAGUGAUCUUCUUGGCCGGGAUGUGGUGAAGUAAUCGUGUACUUUUGUGGGAUGUGGGUUUCAUUUUGUUUUGAGUAUUGUGGGAUGUCGUGGGAGGAUUAAGCACGGUUGUGUAGUAGUUGGAUGUUUAAAUGCUAGUACAUUUCCUUUCUCAUUUAAUAUUAAAUUUGAGUUGGAGGAAAAUUAAUUUGUGUU
rnacentral:lncRNA from 1 species